rnacentral:rRNA from 1 species
CCUACGGGAGGCAGCAGUCGAGAAUCAUUCACAAUGGGGGAAACCCUGAUGGUGCGACGCCGCGUGGGGGAAUGAAGGUCUUCGGAUUGUAAACCCCUGUCAUGUGGGAGCAAAUUAAAAAGAUAGUACCACAAGAGGAAGAGACGGCUAACUCUGUGCCAGCAGCCGCGGUAAUACAGAGGUCUCAAGCGUUGUUCGGAAUCACUGGGCGUAAGGCGUGCGUAGGCUGUUUCGUAAGUCGUGUGUGAAAGGCGCGGGCUCAACCCGCGGACGGCACAAGAUACUGCGAGACUAGAGUAAUGGAGGGGGAACCGGAAUUCUCGGUGUAGCAGUGAAAUGCGUAGAUAUCGAGAGGAACACUCGUGGCGAAGGCGGGUUCCUGGACAUUAACUGACGCUGAGGCACGAAGGCCAGGGGAGCGAAAGGGAUUAGAUACCCGUGUAGUC